rnacentral:tRNA from 1 species
ACUAUUUUGGCAGAAAAGUGUCAUGAAUUUAGAAUUCAUAAAUAUAGGAAUACCCUAUAAAUAGUAC